UGCUAUUCGAGAUGGGACUAAGGUAUGCUAGUCGAACGACCAGAACUAUGUCUGGAAGUGGCACACUGCUCAGUAACACGUAGCUAACCUACCCUUAGGACGUGGAUACCCCCGAGAAAUUGGGGUUAAUCCGCGAUAGAUGUAAUGUCCUGGAAUGGUAUUACGUCUAAAGGUAUUUCAUACAUGUUUGAAAUAUGCCUAAGGACGGGGCUGCGGCCGAUCAGGCUGUUGGUGAGGUAAUGGCUCACCAAACCUUUGACCGGUACGGGCCAUGAGAGUGGUAGCCCGGAGAUGGACACUGAGACAAGGGUCCAGGCCCUAAGGGGCGCAGCAACCGCGAAACCUCCACAAUGCACUCACGUGCGAUGGGGCUAUCUCGAGUGCCACCUGAUGAAGGUGGCUUUUCCUAGGUCUUCAAAGCCUUGGGAAUAAGAGGGGGGCAAGACUGGUGUCAGCCGCCGCGGUAACACCAGCCCCUCGAGUGGUGGGGAUGAUUAUUUGGCCUAAAGCGUCCGUAGCCGGCCGAGUAAGUCUUCCGUUAAAUCCAACGUCUCAAGCGUUGGACCGCGGGAGAUACUACACGGCUAGAGAGUGGGAGAGGUCAGCGGUAUUCUGGGGGUAAGGGCGAAAUCUUUUGAUCCCCGGAGGACCACCAGUGGCGAAGGCUGCUGACUAGAACACGUCUGACGGUCAGGGACGAAAGCUGGGGUAGCGAACCGGAUUAGAUACCCGGGUAGUCCCAGCCGUAAACGAUGCAUGCUAGGUGUUGGGUUGGCCACGAGCCACCCCAGUGCCGCAGGGAAGCCGUUAAGCAUGCCGCCUGGGAAGUACGAUCGCAAGAUUGAAACUUAAAGGAAUUGGCGGGGGA
rnacentral:rRNA from 1 species